UACGGGGGGGGGCAAGCGUUGUUCGGAUUCAUUGGGCGUAAAGGGUGCGUAGGCGGCGCGGUAAGUCGGGUGUGAAAUCUCGGAGCUUAACUCCGAAACUGCAUUCGAUACUGCCGGUGCUUGAGGACUGGAGAGGAGACUGGAAUUUACGGUGUAGCGGUGAAAUGCGUUAGAUAUCGUCAAGAACACCGAUAGUGAAGACAGCUUACUAGGCUUAUACUGACGCUGAGGCACGAAAGUGUGGGGAUCAAACAGG
rnacentral:rRNA from 1 species